rfam:Medicago truncatula strain A17 chromosome 2, whole genome shotgun sequence.
UUGGGGUAAAAUAGUGAGUAGCCGAUUUGGUGAAGUGAUCAACCAUUCUGAUAAGUUUAAAUCUGUUUUUUUUUACUCCUGAAACUUUUUACCAUGGGUAAAAGGAUUUUUCUUGGGGUAUAAAAAAAAAACCAGAUUUAAAUUUAGCCCAAGGGUUGAUGAGGUAUUUUCCUCAAGAAGGUUGCUCACUAUUUUACCCCAA